rnacentral:rRNA from 1 species
UACGUAGGGGGCAAGCGUUGUCCGGAUUCAUUGGGCGUAAAGAGCGUGUAGGCGGCCAGGUAGGUCGGUUGUGAAAACUGGAGGCUCAACCUUCAGAGGUCGACCGAAACCAUCUGGCUAGAGUCCGGAAGAGGAGAAUGGAAUUCCUGGUGUAGCGGUGAAAUGCGCAGAUAUCAGGAAGAACACCAAUGGCGAAGGCAGUUCUCUGGGACGGUACUGACGCUGAGACGCGAAAGCUAGGGGAGCAAACGGG